CCAUGUGCGGCUGAUGACAGCACUGCUGCUGAGACUCUGUGAUUGCUUAGUCUCAAAGUAAACGCUCUGACGCACCUGCC
rfam:Camelus ferus unplaced genomic scaffold scaffold418, whole genome shotgun sequence.